UCAACCAUCAAAGUGCUACAUCAUAUAACACACAUACAAAUGUGAUCAGCAUCAAGUUUACAAUCAGAUAACAAGCUCCACAAGUGUACAAUCACAGGAGCCACAUUCUGCUACAUCACAUAACACACAUACAAAUAGGAGCAGCAUAAAGGACUCCAUUACUCUCAGAACUAGCUCCAAUGAGCAAGAACUAUUCUUCCUCCGACUUCUUUUUACUGAUGCUCACGAAGAAACAUUAAAGCCCAGCAUCUGCAUGUUACAAAACAAAAUAUUUAGGAACAAAAUAGAAGUAGAUCUAACAACAUAUUUAACAAUAAAUAACAGAAUAAUGAAGUUCAUGAGACAUUUUAGAAUCAACUUGACAGUUGAUAGUAAUGUUUGCAUUGGACACAUCCAAAACUAAAAUUACUAAGAUAUAUCAUCAACAGCCAUAUAGCUUUGUUUAAUAUUACUAAGAUAUAUAGCCAUUAGUUUGUUUUAACAUGGAACCCAAGAGUAUGCGACUCUAGCACCCUGAGAAAGAUGUUAAUAUGCCAUCAUACUAGCUGAUAGACAAACAUUCCAGGAAGAAUUGAUGCUUGUUUAACAGGUACAAUCGAUACUUCUAUCUCUAAUAGACAAAUUUAAAGUUUUUAAUACAUUUUUUCUAUUAGCAAAUCUGAAUAUGCUACUUCCUGAUUCAUGGCUGCAUAGUCCAGCUAGCUACACCAGUUUGCUCUAAUGCAAAAAUUAGAAAAAAAUGUAUCAUUGGUAAUUAUGCAACUCUAUUUGGAGUCAUUUCUCCAAACAAUUACUGCUAUUAUAGUUACUGAUGUAUCCUAAUUAAUAGUACUUUACAGUAGAUAAACAUUUGUUGAUGCUAAAAAAGACAAAGGCUUGUACCAUGACAUGUCCAGCAAGCCUAAUUAAUAGUGUCAAACUGUAGCAGGACAUAAAAGAACAAUGCAGUAGUAACUUAAGCAUGCUCCCCUGUAGACACACACACACACACACGCACACGAUCAAUUCAAACCCAAACAAAUCAAAUCACGCUCUUCAUCUAGACCCUACAGGUCAUGAACGCUUGGCAUCAAGCAUUAGGCCAUGAAGCAUCUGUCCGAUCUGUUCAACAAGACGAGUACAUACCUGGCUCCAGGUCGAUGCGGUGGAUGGGGCUGUACUUGAACAUCUGGUCCAGGGACGAGCCUGCUAAUCCAAAUCGAACAAACAAAUUCAUUAGGAGGGGAUCGAAGAGACAAGGAAGAAAUGAAGUAAACAUACAUACAGGUCUAUAUAUAAGCAGCAGAAGCAAGUAAUAUAAAUACAUCCUCUUUCUUCCUCUACAACACUAACUACAACAACAUCAAUCAUUGUACACAAGGAGCAGCAGCAACAAGCCGAUAAAGAAAGCUCAAGAUUUGUGUCUUUUGCAAGUUUUAGCACACUAGUACAUGCGUUAAAAUGGAAGCACCGCUGCUGGGUUGCAACAGCCAACAAACUAUAGGGUUACCGUCAAGUUAGCAUUACAGAAAGCGAAAAGAAAAGUGGAAAAGACAUGGCAGCCUAUAGUUAUGCGGAUAACAUCGACAAGUAGCCAACAGGAUGAGCAUUGUGCAGCUUAAUAACACAGUGUAUUAAUCUGAAUACACGUGAACAAAACAAGCAGUGUUAUUAAUACACUGCUAAAUGAGCAUUCAGGAUGCUUAUUAUACACGUGAACAAAACUAGGCCAAAACAUAGUAAAAAAACUGUGAAAAGGACACUAGCAGCAAAAUGAGCAUUGUGCAGCAAAAUGCUCACCAGCCAGAAGAUAAGCAAGGGAGGGAAACACACAAAGACAAUUUCGUAACUGAACCCGGGGAACCUUAGCUGACUAUCAUAAAUCACAACGGAAGCUACUGCAAAUGCCUUAAAACUACUGGUUCAUCAACAAAUAUUACAAGCAUGGUAAUUAGGAAAAGAGUAAAGCUAACCAAAAAAACUACAGAAAAGACAUCAAUAAUAAACUAGGUAAACCUCCAUAACCAUGAGACUAAUGAGCUACUAUCAAUAAAACCAUAGAAUGAAGCAGAAAUAUGUAAGAUAACUUGGAAGGGACACCAAUCUAUUAGAGUCAAACAGUUUAUUCACAUCUGAGCAUUUUCUUAAUGCUAUUUCAGAAAGCUAACAAAGACACUAACCACCAGGAAGGCUCCUACAACAGUUAUGCAAAAGACAGGAACACAAACACAGCUUAAUGACCUUGUACAUCUCUCACAAAUCUGCUGGCAAUAUGACAAGUCAAGGCACUCAUGAAUAUGCUCUAACUCUACUAUCAGUUUGUGAGAUCUUCCAAACAAAAAUUGUAUAUAUGAACAGGGUCAAACAGCAAGAGCCAUCUACUAUGAAUGUACUAGUAGGCAACGGCUGCAGAGAUCUUCAAACAGCUACCUCCUCAAACAAGUCACACAUUUCAUAGCAUGUGUAAGGCUAGCUACCUAAUGAUCUAUGAAUCAGUAUCUUUUAAGUAAGCAUGACUACAAAAAAACAGCAUGUUCACAUCAUUUCCAACAGGGCUAGAUUCAAUUCGAAAAUGCACUGAUCAAUUAGAGUCCUUGGCAGGAACACUGCUCCAACAGUUUGUCAAUAUUUAACAGCAUGAAAAGAACAAUCCACACAGGAAAGAUGUAUACAUAGAGCCUAUUUCAGGACAAAACACCAAGGCACACGAUCUGAGGCCGAGAACACCCUGAACCGGUGGUGGGAUGAGGGGGCCCUGAAGCGGCGGCGGGCCCUGAACCAUCGAGAAGCUGAUGGCGGUCGUCGGCGAGGUCGGGCGAGGAGGAGACCCUUUGUGCCGCGCCACCGGAGGAGGAGGAGGAGAGGAACAGGCGGCUCAUGGACCCAUCGAGGUAGGCCAUCUCCCACGAGUCGGGCGCCGCGGCAGCAGCAGCCGCCGCGUCCUCCUCCAUGCCCGCUGUCAUGCGGCCCGAUCUGCUCUGCUCGUGGCGGGAGGAGGCAAGGUGGUGGCGGGAGGAGGCUCCUCCUCCUCUACCGGCGGAUCUGGGCGCGGCCUUUGUGGGUCGAGUCGAUCCGGUGGAUUUUGCUGGAGAGAAGGGGAGGGGAGAUGCAGAUGGUGGGGGUCGCCGGCGUUGGGGUAGAGGGCGGAGGUCGCGAGGGGUCCGGCGAUGGGUAGUGGGCGGAGUCGCUGGCGUUGGGGCGGAGGUGCUCGACGGCGGGGCUGGAUUUGGGGGAGAAGAGCAGCAGGCAGAGGGGCGGGGGAGGGGUCUGGAUCGGGGAGAGGGAGACGGCAGCGCUUGACCUAGGGUUUCUCAGGAAGGAGGGGGUCGAGGGAGGAAGGG
rnacentral:lncRNA from 1 species